CUAUCCCCAUUCUAUCCCCAUUCUAUCCCCAUUCUAUCCCCAUUCUAUCCCCAUUCUAUCCCCAUACUGUCCCCAUACUGUCCCCAUUCUAUCCCCAUUCUGUCCCCAUAUUGUCCCCAUAUUGUCCCCAUUCUAUCCCCAUUCUAUCCCCAUUCUAUCCCCAUACUGUCCCCAUUGCAGACCCACUCACUGCUCAUUCCCCGCAGUCAGAACAGCCGCCCCAUCACCGUGGCCGUCUCGGUCCCCGUGGAGGCGCACGCGGAGCUGGAGCUGCGGGGCAUGUCGCUGCCCGCCACCGCGCUGCUGCCCACCGAAUGGAGCCAGGAUGGGGACGACAACCAGACGGAGCAUCGCGGGGUGCGGGUGGAGCACGUCUACCAGGUACGGGAUGGAACCGGGGGGGAUGGGGGGGACACGACCCCAAAGCGGCUCUGAGCGCCGCCAUGUCCGCCCCACAGCUGCACAAUAAGGGACCGGGCACCGUCACCAACGUCACCAUGAACAUCCGCGUCCCUGUCGUUGUCGGUGGCCGCGUGUGGAUCCACGUGGUGGAGAUCGGAACCGAGGGAGGGAUCGAGUGUGGGACGAACCCGGAACCGGACAAUGAGGAGGGGACACAACCAGAACCAGAACCAGAACCAGAACCAGAACCAGAACCAGAACCUGAACCAGAACCAGAACCAGAACCUGAACCCCACGAUGUGGGGCGACACAAUGGGACGCAGCGAUGGGAUGAGGAGGGGAGCGUCAGUGUGCACUGUGGCAAUACCAGCUGCGUGGCGGUGCGGUGCCAUGCGGGGAUCAUGGCGCAGGGACAGCGCGUGUUGGUGGCCGUCCAUGUGCUGCUCCGGAUGGACCCCGAGCGGCAGGUAACGGCACCGCGGGGACACGGGGACACCAUGGGGUCACCACCAGCCCCAUAGUGUCCCCUUGGUGUCAUUCUGUGUCCCCAUCA
rnacentral:lncRNA from 1 species